UUUGGUUUUAACUGUAUUUCAGUUGGUUGUGUUCAUUUUGUAAAGUGGUAUGUGCUGACGUUAUUUGAUACACAAUAAACACUUUUUUUACGUGGAAAACCCUUCAUUUAAAGUCAAAUACUCAGAGAAUAUUCUGGAACCAAGAGGUCAACAUGCUGGGAAUCAGCACACCCAGGCCCAGCUGGCUCACACUGAGCCCAGCCUUGACGUCCAGCAGCAGCCACACCCAGGGAGACCUCAAAAGUAAACCUGGAACCGUGGAGAACCUUCACAAACAACACAAAUUCUGCAGCAGAUCACAGCCAAGCUUGCUCCUGCCUCUCAGAAGAGUCCAUGAACCUUUACUUUUGUCCUGGAGUGCGGCCCAGAAUCAUCUGCAGGAACCUGAACUCUGUGGGCGUUGAUGUUACGCAGCGCGGCGUGUUUUUAGCGUGUGGGCUGCAUCUGUGUGAAUUAGCUGCUGCCAUGGAAACCACCUGACAGACUCCUGACCUUCUCCUCUCUGACUGAAAUGAUGCUGGAAUCUAAGCUCAAUAAAAUCAUAAUUAAACUAUAUAUUUAUAAUUAAUUUAGUUUGAGUCUCAAGCAACGUCAAAAAGCGAUGAAUAUUCCAACUAACAAUCUUCACAGUAUUCAUUCCAGCUUUCAUAAACUUUCAUUUAAUCAUAAUUCCUGGAUUUUAAUUCAGUUUUUAUUGUACUUUAUUUUGUUGCA